rnacentral:lncRNA from 1 species
AAGAAAUGGAGACUUGCGUGGGACCGUCAUGUGAGAGCACUGAAAAGGUCUAAGGAUAUGCCAGAGAGUGUACCGAGGCCUGGAAGCCUGAGUUGGCUCACCAUUUUUAUAAAACAUCGGCAAACCAACCCAAACUUUCCCGAGAUUUCAGCAGACAGAGUUGAGAGUCCUAAUGACAACCUGGAUCAGACUCCCUUGUUUUCAGACCAGGCAGGUAAGCCAAUAUUAGUGGUUUGUAGUUGGCUACAGGUAUUGUGUAGUUGGCUACAGACACAAUCCUUAUGUUUCCAUACUGGCUCCUUUUUUAUUUUACUGUAGGU